AAGUCAGUUCGUAGGGAACUGCGGAGGGAUCAUUC
rnacentral:rRNA from 2 species